CAUGAUGUUGUGUUCAGUUACUGCACAUUGCAAAGUGAAUGUCUCAGCGACUGUUACUGCAAUGAUUCACUUGAAAUGAUAUUUCCCACCACCAAUUGAUGGUUUGUGAGUGGAAGUUGUCAGCUACUUGCAGAGAGUUCUAACUUAGUCCAUUAAGCACUAGACACAUUGGAUACAGCCAUGAAACAAAUUACUGAUAGAUGUAUGAAAAACAGACAAAAAGUUUCAACAGAUUCAAAGAGUGGGUAAAACAGAAUCUUCAAAACAAAUCAUUCUAUUGACUGUAAAAUAUGAAAAAUAAAGAGUUGUUGUUCUGUAACUUGUUGAUAUUUUUACCUAAAUUUCUUUUACUAUCCACUAAACUUUGUUAUGCCAUACAAGAUAAUUCAAUAUGUACCAUUUCUGUUAGUUUCUGAGCUUCCAUUUUAUAUUACAUUAAUUGUGAUGCAAUGGAAAAAAAAAAGACUUUUAUCAGUGAAAUCAUACAUUUGGACUCUAA